rnacentral:misc_RNA from 1 species
CAUUCGCUUUCAGUGGCGUUCGGUUCGCUUCAGUCGCAAUUACUCCGAGGUAGGCCUAGUUCGUCGGUCGCAUUNGUUCUUGUUUUUGUCGUUGUUGUAGACGCGUGUGGCGUCAAUGUUAUUGCCGAGAAAAAAUUCAGCGUGCUAAAAUAGAACUGCAAGGGAAGUUUAAACUCAAACAAGUGCAAAAUUCUAUUAAAACAAAACAACAACUAAAGACUUAGAAGUAGAACAGUGUAAAGCAAAGUCGAACAAAAAAGUGCGGAGCGACAUAAUCGCCUGCACCACAGAGUGCGCGCACAGCACAAUAAUUAGAGAGCGGGCGCAGCCUGCGGCUCCUCUGAGCUCAUUAAAAAUUAAACAAAGCCGCAGCACGAGAACAAGAAAAACUUUUGAGUGAAAAAUAGCAAAUAGCAAAGCGUUCGGCGUAAAAAAUAAAUAAAAUUAAAGUGCGACGGCAGUUUAGGCCAAAGGCAAACAACACACACACACACACAACAAUACUAUGCGCCUAUUAAAAGUGCCACAAACGGCAGACAAUGCGGCUGGGGCUGGAGCGCAGCUGGCGCGUGACAUCAUUAUGGCGGGUCCAGCGGAACAGCAAGAGCCGCAGACACAACAGCACCCGUAUCACAACAUCAGCGCCAUGCAUAUCGUGGAUGUGCAACAACUGAAAAUGGCCAAAAGCAUUGCGGCCAACAACAAAAGCGGCGCAACAACAACAACGGCGAGCAACAGCAGUCGUCGACGCAAACAGAAUAAAACAAAACACGCGCAACAUUUGCAAAACGCCACUGCCAUUGUUGGGCAGGACAACAAUUACAAUCACAACACUAAUGAGCAGCAUGAAGACAACAAUACCAGCACCGGCUUGUUUGCAAAAUCAAGGUCGCUCGAACGUUAUACCAAGCCGCCGCAUGCCACAUUGCUGGCGCUGGAACAAGGCGCAGCGCUCACACCGAAUCUGAAUGUCUCACCACGCCGCCGUUUUCUCUCACCAUUCAAAUCGUUGAAGCGUCGCAGUCGUAGCAGCAGCAGUAGCGGUGGCGGCAGCAGUCGUUGUGACUCACGCGACGUCGCCGUAGCCGCUAUGCUGGCGCUGCAGCGCGAGCCAACGCAAGAGGUGCGCGUCGAGCAAUUCAGCACAGCGCAGAGCAUGUUGCAGCAACAUGUGGCUAAGCGCGCGCAACACUUGCACUCGGCGAGUUCGCAGAGUGGCGACAGCGGCACGGGCGGCACAGAACUCGAGAUGGAGUUGCAAGACUGCAGUCGCGCUUCUGCGGCGGCGAGUAGUCAGCUGAGUCUAAGUUUCUCGCAGCUGAGCAGCGGCGCUGACGGUGACGGCGAAGUGGACGAUGACAGCAGCAGCGACGCGCCGCGAGUUGAGGUUGCUGUGCAACGCGCUGUGUCAACGCCGUUGCAAUCGCCCCCUGGUAGUCGAAGCGGCGCGUCUGCCGGCGAAAGCAUAAAUAUUGUUGAAACGAAAGCGCUGUGCGUUGACGCUGCGCCGUCUCAAGUGUUGGCGGAGAAACAAAUGGUCGGUGCUGUUGUUGACGCCGACGUUGACGUUGAUGAGGCGCACAAUUUCGCCGUGACUGUGGACGAUUUGGAUGCUUCGUUUGCCGAGGAGUCACUCUAUACGAUCGGCAAUAUAACGCUCGUCGAUGACACAUACUCAAAUUAUGAUCCGAAGAAUGACGCCGAGCGUAUGUUCCUGCAGGUGGUUGGCAUAUUGCGCGAUGAGAACGAGAAAAUGCGUCAAUUCCAAAAGACGCUGGAGGAUUUGAGUUCACGCGUCGCCUCGGCCGAAGCCACGAAAGUAUCAUGGUUGCCACCCGUCUCCGCACAGGAGGCCACCGAGCAAAUGCAACAUUUGCAACGUUUGCGCGACAAAAUGACCACCGCCGGUGCGCUGUUGGAUGAUUGCAACGAGCAGCAGGCAUUCUUCACCGCCAAUCAGGUGUUGGUGCCCGCCAUGUGCCUAUCACGGCUGGAAGAUUUGAACACAAGAAUGAAACUUCUACAAAUUGCAAUGGAUGAACGGCAAAAGAUACUUUGCAACGCUGGUGCUAAUCAAGCUUUGGAAAAUGGCGAAGAUGGACGUACAACAUCGAAUAGUGGCACAAUUGGGCCAUUACCUAACCUAGGUCAAAGCGUAAAGCCACCCUGGGAACGCGCAACGACAGCAGCCAAUGUGCCUUACUACAUUGAUCACGAGCGCGAAACCACUCACUGGGAUCAUCCAGAAAUGAUUGAAUUGAUGAAAAGUUUGGCUGACCUUAAUGAAAUCCGUUUCUCCGCCUAUCGCACAGCAAUGAAAUUACGUGCCGUGCAAAAGCGUUUGGCGCUGGAUCGCAUUCCCAUGUCCACUGCCAUCGAAUCGUUCGAUCGUCAUGCGUUGCGCGCACAAAACGACAAACUCAUCGAUAUACCCGACAUGACGACCGUCUUGCAUUCGCUCUAUGUGACAAUCGAUAAAAUUGACUUGACUUUAAUGUUGGAUUUGGCCAUAAACUGGAUACUAAAUGUUUACGACUCGCAGCGCACCGGACAGAUACGUGUGCUGAGCUUUAAGGUUGGCUUGAUUUUGCUCUGCAAGGGUCAUCUCGAGGAGAAAUAUCGCUACUUAUUCCGUUUGAUUGCCGACCCGGAGCGCAAAGUCGACCAAAGAAAAUUGGGCUUGCUGCUGCAUGACUGCAUACAGGUUCCACGCCAGCUGGGCGAAGUGGCCGCUUUCGGUGGUUCCAAUAUCGAGCCUUCGGUGCGCUCAUGCCUCGAACGCGCUGGCAUCUCGCAGGAAGCCAUUGACGCCAAUCAGGAAAUUGCCAUUGAACAAUCACACUUCCUCGGCUGGUUGCAACACGAGCCGCAGAGUUUAGUAUGGAUGCCGGUGUUGCAUCGUCUAGCGGCUGCCGAAACGGCCAAACAUCAGGCAAAAUGUAACAUUUGUAAGGAGUAUCCGAUAAUUGGAUUCCGUUAUCGCUGCCUCAAGUGCUUCAAUUUCGAUAUGUGCCAAAAGUGUUUCUUCUUCGGACGUAACGCCAAAAAUCACAAAUUGAGUCAUCCAAUGCACGAGUAUUGCACAACGACCACCUCAACAGAAGACGUUCGCGAUUUCACACGCGCUUUGAAGAACAAAUUCAAGAGUCGCAAAUACUUCAAAAAGCAUCCACGUGUCGGCUAUUUGCCGGUACAAAGCGUGCUCGAGGGUGAUGCAUUAGAGAGUCCCGCACCAAGCCCACAACACACCACACACACGCUGCAAAAUGAUAUGCACUCACGGCUCGAAAUGUACGCUUCCCGUUUGGCGCAAGUUGAAUAUUGUACCGGUUCAAAUUCAACGCCCGACAGCGACGACGAACAUCAACUGAUCGCCCAGUACUGUCAGGCAUUGCCCACAAAUAACGGUAGCGGCCCCAAAUCGCCAGUUCAAGUAAUGGCAGCCAUGGAUGCAGAGCAACGUGAAGAGCUGGAAGCGAUUAUACGCGACCUGGAGGAGGAGAACGCCAAUUUACAAGCGGAAUAUCAGCAGUUGUGCAGCAAACAAAAUAGCACCACACCCGACGCGGAUGGUGGCAUGCAGCACUCAACGUCCGCCAUGGGGGGCCUGGCUGCUGGAGCUAAUGCCGGAGGUCAAGGUGAACAUGGGCAGGAUAUGAUUGCCGAGGCGAAGCUGCUACGCCAACAUAAGGGUCGACUUGAGGCACGUAUGCAAAUACUGGAAGAUCACAAUCGCCAACUGGAAGCACAAUUGCAACGACUGCGCCAAUUGUUAGACGAGCCGAAUAGUGGCGCUGUGAGUGCCGCCGGCUCUGCGCUGAAUUCCAAGCCGAACACGUUGCAAACACGCUCCGUGACUGCAUCUCAGCUGAAUACCGACUCGCCGGCGAAAAUGAAUCAACAAAAUGGCCAUUAUGAGCAAAGCACAAAGGGCAUGAUGCUACCCGGCAUGGGCAUGGUCAAUGUGGGCAAUGCCGCUACGGCUGGUGCUGGUGGCGCUGGGGAACAUAUGGGCGUUGGCAAACAUCCGCUCGGCCCUGGGCUUGUGGCGCUACAGCAACGCGCUGCAAUGAAUGCUGCUGGCGGUGGCGGCGGUGGCAUGGGUAUGGUUGGCGGUAUGGGUCACCUGGGUGGCAUUGCAGGCGCAACAGGCAACGGAGGCAUCGAUAUGGGUGGCGUUUGCCAUGCGCCCGGUCAAGGCUACAUGCUGGACGACGGACGCCCACCGCCGCCACCACACUCGAGUCUACUACACACUAUGCCUGAUCACGCGUAAAUAGCUCAUAACUAAGAUCAAGGAAAUUUUAGAACAAAUUGUUGAUUUAAACGCCGCUGAAAUAGGACGCGCCGUAGAGGAGCUGGUUACAGUCAUAACCGAGGAGAUGAUCGAACAAACGCAGAGUCAA